rnacentral:rRNA from 1 species
GGGUUGUGAGGUUAAGCGACUAAGCGUACACGGUGGAUGCCCUGGCAGUCAGAGGCGAUGAAGGACGUGCUAAUCUGCGAAAAGCGUCGGUAAGGUGAUAUGAACCGUUAUAGCCGGCGAUGUCCGAAUGGGGAAACCCAGUGCAAUUCGUUGCACUAUCGUUUGAUGAAUACAUAGUCAAACGAGGCGAACCGGGGGAACUGAAACAUCUAAGUACCCCGAGGAAAAGAAAUCAACCGAGAUUCCCCCAGUAGCGGCGAGCGAACGGGGAGCAGCCCGGAGUCUGAAUCAGCUUGUGUGUUAGUGGAAGCGUCUGGAAAGUCGCAGGGUACAGGGUGAUACUCCCGUACACUAAAACACACAGGUUGUGAACUCGAAGAGUAGGGCGGGACACGUGGUAUCCUGUCUGAAUAUGGGGGGACCAUCCUCCAAGGCUAAAUACUCCUGACUGACCGAUAGUGAACCAGUACCGUGAGGGAAAGGCGAAAAGAACCCCGGCGAGGGGAGUGAAAAAGAACCUGAAACCGUGUACGUACAAGCAGUAGGAGCCCACUAGUUGGGUGACUGCGUACCUUUUGUAUAAUGGGUCAGCGACUUAUAUUCUGUAGCAAGGUUAACCGUAUAGGGGAGCCGCAGGGAAACCGAGUCUUAACUGGGCGUUAAGUUGCAGGGUAUAGACCCGAAACCCGGUGAUCUAGCCAUGGGCAGGUUGAAGGUUGGGUAACACUAACUGGAGGACCGAACCGACUAAUGUUGAAAAAUUAGCGGAUGACUUGUGGCUGGGGGUGAAAGGCCAAUCAAACCGGGAGAUAGCUGGUUCUCCCCGAAAGCUAUUUAGGUAGCGCCUCGUGAA